CAGACACGUUAAUACUCGGACAUGUUAAUUUCUGUGAGAGAAUCAUCCCCCUGUUUGAAACGGAUGAUGUUGAAGUUUGCUUUAAAAAUAUGUCUAGGCAUCCACACUGCAGGAAAAGAGGAGAAAAGAAACCUUUGGAAGGAAAAGUCAGAGCAGAGAGGUUAAACCGCUUUGAGAAAGAGAUGAAACACAAACAAAUACCAGGGGGCAACCGUUCAGUGGAAAAAUUUACUGAAAGAAAGUGGCUAGAAGGCCCCUACUUCGGAUCAACUCAUUAUCCCGAAUAAACGAUGUGUCAUUCCCAUUAUUUAUGUUUCACUGCAGCCAAAGUAUCUGGACCUCGUUUUGGUAAGCACCAUUCAUUUCGACCCAUUCAGUAUU
rnacentral:lncRNA from 1 species